rnacentral:precursor_RNA from 15 species
UCACUCGGAUCAAUCUCUCACAGCGAAUUGCAUUGAUGUGUUAGCUUGAUGAUUGCGAUUCCCUCAUAAGCGGGCACACCAAUGCAGUUAGUUGUGAAAUGCCGGACCGCAGGCAUU